rnacentral:rRNA from 1 species
UUCCCCCUUCGGGGGGACGAGGGUGACAGGUGGUGCAUGGUUGUCGUCAGCUCGUGUCGUGAGAUGUUGGGUUAAGUCCCGCAACGAGCGCAACCCUCGACCUUAGUUGCCAGCAUUCAGUUGGGCACUCUAAGGUGACUGCCGGCUAAAAGUCGGAGGAAGGUGGGGAUGACGUCAAAUCAUCAUGCCCCUUAUGACCUGGGCUACACACGUGCUACAAUGGCCGGUACAAAGAGAAGCAACCUCGCGAGGGUGAGCAAAUCUCAAAAAGCCGUUCUCAGUUCGGAUUGAAGUCUGCAACUCGACUUCAUGAAGUCGGAAUCGCUAGUAAUCGCGGAUCAGCAUGCCGCGGUGAAUACGUUCCCAGGCCUU